AGGAGGAUGGACAACAAGUCCCAGCCCCUGCAGGACACCACCACAGCACUGGGCAGCUCCUUCAGCGACUGAUCCACCCUUAGCAUCUGAAGGAGAGGUAUCGCUGGGUCGUCACUUCCUGCAGCAGUGAGACUGUACAACCACAUGCACCUUUAAUGGAAUCCUGCAUUUUAUCUCAGGUGACCUGCCGGGGCCCUCUCGGUGCUACAGAGAUAAUAACGGCAUUGAGAAACGGCAACAGCAGUGACAAGAGCUGUAACGACGUCGCCCGACACAGCAACAGAGGACAGACAGCACUCCACUCCAGAUGGGGCGCUUCCUGUGCCAGGCAGGAAAUGGCACUGAGCUCCCUCGCCAUCAUAUUUCAUUUUAGCAGGGAAGGGACAUAAUCAUCGCUUCAUCUUCGAAACACAUCCAUUCCUCCCAGCGGAUUUAGAUGCAGACGACAAACGGCUUCAGGGUCAAAACAGAGACGGAUUAUAGGAAACCAAGGUUCCUGGCCCGAGUUGAACCCCGGGAGUUGAAAUCUUGGUGGCCGAAAGCCCUCAAGAAACAGCCGGGCUUCAUCUCCCCCUUCUUCUUCACACUCUUGCAAUUGCUCGCGAACUUCCAUUACUGGUUAAUGGAGACCUGCUCUCAGCCUGACCUUGAGGAGCACGGCGAGAGAAUGUGGUCGAGUUUCACUCACCGAGGACCUCUUGGUCAGCACCAUGAACCUGAAGCUGGGGCCUGCACUCAGACUCUGCUUCCACAUCAACUCUCUGAACGAUGCAUGUUUCAUGAAUGUGAACUCAUUUACUCUGGACUCUUUAUCACUCUGGAAUGUGC